rnacentral:lncRNA from 1 species
AGUUAUCAAAAUUUAUCACUACUUGUUAACUUGGUAUUUUCUGAAGCUACGUCAUCCUAAUGAUGUCAUCUGUAUAUGACAUUAUCUGAAGCAAUCAAGCAUGUCACGCUGCCGACUCCAACCUUUGUUUAUACAGUGUGUUUGAAAAGUAACUAUACACCUAUAAUAAACACGAUUAUGUUGAGGGAUUAUAUUCCAUGUACUGUGAAUAAUGUUUUCUGUAAAAGUCUGCAGAUAUGUCUGGAUAUUCAUGGGAACCAUUUCCAACAACUUCUUGUAAGGUAAGUCAUUUUACUAAUAUAGUUACAAGUAUCAAAAAUGAGCACAAAGAGCAGGCUAACCGAUAAAUAAACAAAUAACCUUGCUCUUUGUGCUUGCUCAAACAAUAACCAUUGCAAC